rnacentral:rRNA from 1 species
CUUGGCACUGAACAUUGACCCUACAUGUGUAGGAUAGGUGGGAGGCUUUGAAGCACGUACGCCAGUAUGUGUGGAGCCGUCCUUGAAAUACCACCCUUGUAGUGUUGAUGUUCUAACGUCGACCCCUAAUCGGGGUUGCGGACAGUGCCUGGUGGGUAGUUUGACUGGGGCGGUCUCCUCCCAAAGAGUAACGGAGGAGCACGAAGGUGGGCUAAUCACGGUUGGACAUCGUGAGGUUAGUGCAAUGGCAUAAGCCCGCUUGACUGCGAGAAUGACAAUUCGAGCAGGUGCGAAAGCAGGUCAUAGUGAUCCGGUGGUUCUGAAUGGAAGGGCCAUCGCUCAACGGAUAAAAGGUACUCCG